AGCGAACGCUGGCGGCAGGCCUAACACAUGCAAGUCGAACGAACUCUUCGGAGUUAGUGGCGGACGGGUGAGUAACACGUGGGAACGUGCCUUUUGGUUCGGAAUAACUCAGGGAAACUUGUGCUAAUACCGAAUGUGCCCUUCGGGGGUAAGAUUUAUCGCCAUUAGAGCGGCCCGCGUCUGAUUAGCUAGUUGGUGAGGUAACGGCUCACCAAGGCGACGAUCAGUAGCUGGUCUGAGAGGAUGACCAGCCACACUGGGACUGAGACACGGCCCAGACUCCGACGGGAGGGAGCAGUGGGGAAUCUUGCGCAAUGGGCGAAAGCCUGACGCAGCCAUGCCGCGUGAAUGAUGAAGGUCUUAGGAUUGUAAAAUUCUUUCACCGGGGACGAUAAUGACGGUACCCGGAGAAGAAGCCCCGGCUAACUUCGUG
rnacentral:rRNA from 1 species